CCGCGUCAGGCGGGUAAGAUCCCUCGAAGAUGACGAGGUCGAUAGGUCCGAGGUGGAAGCGUGGCGACACGUGGAGCUGACGGAUACUAAUCGAUCGAGGGCUUAACCUA
rnacentral:rRNA from 1 species